AGCGUGCUAUUUUUGCAUGAAAGAUAAUGCACCCGCCACCUCCUGAGAUUCCCAACCUCCUUCUAGAGGGCCACGUUUUUCAGUACCAGGAACAGGUGUGUGAAUGAGAAGUGGUUGGUAGAAGGCAGCCUCGAAGGCCCUCAUGAGCUGCACCUCCUGGUGUUAUUGACCUUGUGAAUGCUCCCCAUUUGAAUAUGGGCUGGCUCUAGUGAUGGAUCAAACAGAAUAUGGCAAACAGAAUAUGGCAAAAGUGAUGGGAUGUCACCUCCAAUAUCAGAUUACAAUUAGACUGUGGCUUUCCUUUUGCUCAUUCUAUCUCUGGCUGGUUCGGAGGGAAGCCAGCUGCCAUACUGCAAGCUGCCUGAAGAAUAGAUCCAGAGAAAAGGAACUGAUAUCUCCAGAACUGAAGACCUAGUUCCUACCAAUAGCCCUGCUGGGGAGCUUUGUUUCUUCAAGUGUUGAACCUUGAGAUGUCCUGUAGUCCUGUUUGACACUUUGCAGCCUUGGGAGAGACUCAGCCAGAGGCACCCAGCUAAACCUCCAGGAUUC
rnacentral:lncRNA from 1 species